GCGGGUAAUCAGUGCUCAGCAUCGCUUCUAGCAUCGGAACCUUCACUCAUCGAUAGGCCUCGUGAAGUACGAGUACCCUCGUUUGGUCAUGAUUUCUUUAGCGAAAAUUGUUACAGUGGCUCCAUAACACGGAAAUGGCAAAUUUCUAUUCAUCUCCAAUUCGCAAUACAUGUCGCUGCCAGAGAACAGUAUUGUGUAAACAGUAUGUCAAAGACUAGCAAAGUUAACAAAAGACUUGUCUUUGCAAGAAGAGGAGCAUUUUGGAGAACUUUUCCAGCAGUUUAAUAAAGAAUAAUAGGUACAUUACAGUUACCAAUUUCCGUGCGCCUUACUUGAGUUCCUCGUGGUGAAAAUUGUUCCACUUCGCAGGAAAGAAAGAACAAGAAAAGCUCGCCAGUUAAACAAAUUUUCCAUCCAAGUGCGACCGAAAGCAUUUAGGAAUCUUUGCUGCUUUUACGUGGAGGCCUGGCAAGGACCUACAAUUCUUCUCUUCUAAAACGGAAAACUAGAUGAAGCAAUAUGGAUGAGGCGUCGUAAAUCAAGCAUGGUAGUGUACGGAAAUAAAAGGGAAAAAAGGAAAGAAUUACGUAAAGUCUUCUGAUAUCCUCGUGACACGCCUUGUAGAUAUGGGCCACAAGCUUGGAGGGCAAAGACAGGAUCAAAGUGAGGGAAACGAAACUUAGUUAUGGGAGAAAGACAGUUGAAAAUCAAUGUUAAAGGUAACAACUGUAAGCUAAACUUACCAACUACGUUUUCCGCAGAACGAAUUUGGUCACGAAUUGCUGAAAAAUUACGGAAAAUUUCUUUGAGAACACAUCACAGAGCUCUGAAAGAUAAGUUUUAAUUGUCAGGUGAUGAGCAAAAUUUAUGUCUCAUUUCAAGUUAAGACUAUUUGUGAAGGAGCUCGAGGUAAUUUGGCAAAAUGAACACAAUCAAGUGAUAUCGGCAAAUGUUGAAAAUCUAAAAAAGUUAAGUUGUCAGGAGGGACGCUUCCAGUGACUGCUAAAAAAUUCGUAUUGCAUCACAAGUGUAGUGAAAACGUCUGGGGACUUAAAAUGCUAAGUUUCAUUAAAUAUUUGGAAGUAAUUUGGCAUGACGAAAUACAAAAUAAAAAAAAAAUACGGAAGAUGUAAACAAUGAUUGCUUGAAAAGCUUUUCUUUGGAAAACGCUACAACGUCAAUUCCAUGAAAUAUUUUGAUCACAUUGAUUAUUACGCCAA